CAUGCAGGCCUAAGAAGUAGUAGCUCGAUCCGAAAUCUGCGGGAGGCUCCGUAUAUCUGUUAUAACCUUCCGCCCGGAUUCGACCACGGAUAUCCUAGGUAAUUCUUAGGUUAAUACGUGUACCGACGAGCUGGCAAAGGGGGGGCUGGCUAACCCCAGCCCCCCCGUAGUGCAGCUCGGGGCUUGCACGCCCUACCAAGGCUCCCCUUAACAGGGGUGAAUGGCGGGAAGGCGGGCAAGCGUGCCAGACCGUCCCUGAGGCGGUGUGGGCGAUGGACACCAGACCUAUCAACCUUGGUGCCGGGGCGAGCCCAGCACCGGUGAUAACGGGUACAGAGGAUCAGGGUUCGGUCCUGGAGAGGUAGCCUUAGAGAUCGCUACUACUUCUAAGGAAGGCAGCAGGCGCGCAACGUUCCCCAUGGGUAUGCCCCCCCUGAGGACGUGACGGGGCAUAGCAACGCGGUACCGUAAUCGGUUCCGCGAUUGCAAUGGGGCGGAUUUAGAUCCCCCGCCGAGUAACAAUUGGAG
rnacentral:rRNA from 1 species